rnacentral:lncRNA from 1 species
CUGCAAACCUGCCGGAAGAAAAACACAGCAUGAGCCAAUUGCCCAGUACGGAUACAGAUAUACAAAAGAUAUACAACUGAUAUACGAAAAUAACUGAGACAAAAUACUGAACAAAACCUCAAGUGCAAAUACGAACGAAAAUAUAAUAUCCAAAGAUUUGAAUGGAAUAUAUCUGAAUCAACGUAAUGAAUAUAUCUGAAUCAACGUAAUUGACGAAACCAAUAAAAGAAUAAAGAAAUAACGAACUGAAGUAACUAACUCAAUGACUUGAACUGAACAGAAAUCAACAAAACUAAUCCAAUAAAAUAAUAGGCUGAAACAAAUGGCUGGAGUUAUUUUAUACCGAAUGAGGUCAGAAAUACACAUUACCACACAGGCAAGUCAAAAUAAUGCCACACAGGCAACCAAAAUAAUGUCACACAGGCAAAUCACACAUUGGACCGCGAAUCCAAAUGUAUACAAAUCGGAUAG